rnacentral:rRNA from 1 species
GACGAACGCUGGCGGCGUGCUUAACACAUGCAAGUCGAACGGAAAGGCCCCCUUUUGGGGUACUCGAGGAGCGAACGGGGGAGUAACACGUGAGUAACCUACCCCUGACUAUGGGAUAACUUCAGGAAACUGGGGUUAAUACUGCAUAGGAGCUCCUGCUGCAUGGUGGGGGUUGGAAAGUAUCGGCGGUUGGGGAUGGACUCGCGGCUUAUCAGCUUGUUGGUGGGGUAGUGGGUCACCAAGGCCUUGACGGGGAGCCGGCCUGGAAGGGGGACCGGCCACAAUGGGACCGGGAGACGGCCCAGACGCAUACGGGAGGAAGGAGUGGAGAAUAUCGGAGAAUGGGCGGAUGCCUGAAGCAGGAACGCCGCGUGCGGAAGGACGGUCUUCGGGAUGUAAACGGGUGUCGCCUGUAAGGAGGCGUGGGGAAGGUAAAUGGGUAAAGAGGCACGGCUAACUUCGUG